rnacentral:hammerhead_ribozyme from 1 species
AUCCAGCUGACGAGUCCCAAAUAGGACGAAACGCGCAUUAAACUAGAU